UACAGGGGGUGCAAGCGUUGUUCGGAAUUACUGGGCGUAAAGCGCGGGCAGGUGGCCUUUUAAGUCCUUUGUGAAAUCCCGGAGCUCAACUCCGGAUGUGCAUAGGAUACUGGAAGGCUUGGGACUGGUAGAGGCGAGCGGAAUUCCUGGUGUAGCGGUGAAAUGCGUAGAUAUCUGGAGGAACACCGGUGGCGAAGGCGGCAUCCUGGACCAACACUGACGCUGAGUGAGCGAAAGCCAGGGGAGCAAACAGG
rnacentral:rRNA from 1 species